AGGUUACUGCUAUCGGUGUUCGCCUAAGCCAUGCGAGUCAUAUGUUCUUCGUGAACAUGGCGUACUGCUCAGUAACACGUGGAUAACCUGCCCUUGGGUCCGGCAUAACCCCGGGAAACUGGGGAUAAUUCCGGAUAACGCACAUAUGCUGGAAUGCUUUAUGCGUCAAAUGGAUUCGUCCGCCCAAGGAUGGGUCUGCGGCCUAUCAGGUAGUAGUGGGUGUAAUGUACCUACUAGCCUACGACGGGUACGGGUUGUGAGAGCAAGAGCCCGGAGAUGGAUUCUGAGACAUGAAUCCAGGCCCUACGGGGCGCAGCAGGCGCGAAAACUUUACAAUGCGGGAAACCGUGAUAAGGGGACACCGAGUGCCAGCAUCAUAUGUUGGCUGUCCGGGUGUGUAAAAUACACCUGUUAGCAAGGGCCGGGCAAGACCGGUGCCAGCCGCCGCGGUAACACCGGCGGCCCGAGUGGUGAUCGUGAUUAUUGGGUCUAAAGGGUCCGUAGCCGGUUUGGUCAGUCCUCCUGGAAAUCUGACGGCUUAACCGUUAUGCUUUCGGGGGAUACUGCCAGACUUGGAACCGGGAGAGGUAAGAAAUACUACACGGGUAGGAGUGAAAUCUUGUAAUCUC
rnacentral:rRNA from 1 species